rnacentral:lncRNA from 7 species
GGCCGGUGGCCUCCGCCGCCAGAUCGCGACUGUUCCCCUUCCUUAGCCGCGGGGGCAACGCAACGCAACGUCGCCCGCGGGUUCGGACGGCGGCGAGGGGAUGGGCGGCGGCGUGUGGAGAUGCACUUGCCGCUGACUGCACCUUCGGCUCGGCAGUGCGGGAAGGAUCUGGAACCUUCGGUCGCUCAGCUCUCUCAGAUUGCCGGCACGUCAUGGAGAGCCAAGAGAGGCGAUAGAUGAUCUCAUGGUUGACGUCACGCCGCGCCGACCUAGUAGUGCUGCCUCUGGCUUGGCUCGACCUCACAUUCCCACCUGUGUUGUGUCUGUGUGCCCGUGCAACACUAGAGAGCAAUUUUUAUUCUCUGUGUUUCCAAAAUGCAAUUUUUAUAGAGAUAUGUAUGUGAUUUUUAUAGAAAUAUGUUUUUUGUUAUAUGUAAUCAGUUUCUUUAAGAUAAUGUGCUAUUACAGAAAUUGUUAGCCAAAGUUUUUAGCAGUAUGUGAAGUUCGGGCACAUGUAUAUGACGUGCAUGGACUCAUGUCUGUUAUAGUGGAAGAAUUAUAUUCCGAUCAACUAGUGCAGAGUAUGGGUGACUAUAUAUAAUGGUUGGUUGAAAAGAAAAUGAAACUACGAAGGCUGUUGCAAAGAUCGUGAG